rnacentral:tRNA from 1 species
GCGGGAUUAGUAUAGUGGUAGUACGUGACCUUCCCAAGGUCAAAGCGCCGGUUCAAUCCCGGUAUCCCGCU